rnacentral:rRNA from 1 species
CGCGGCCUAUCAGCUUGUUGGUGAGGUAACGGCUCACCAAGGCAUCGACGGGUAGCUGGUCUGAGAGGAUGAUCAGCCACACUGGGACUGAGACACGGCCCAGACUCCUACGGGAGGCAGUAGUAGGGAAUAUUGCACAAUGGGCGAAAGCCUGAUGCAGCAACGCCGCGUGGGGGAUGAAUGCCUUCGGGUUGUAAACCCCUUUCAGCAGGGACGAAAAUGACGGUACCUGCAGAAGAAGCUCCGGCCAACUACGUGCCAGCAGCCGCGGUAAUACGUAGGGAGCGAGCGUUGUCCGGAAUUAUUGGGCGUAAAGAGCUCGUAGGCGGUUCAGUAAGUCGGGUGUGAAAACUCAAGGCUCAACCUUGAGACGCCACUCGAUACUGCUGUGACUUGAGUCCGGUAGAGGAGUGUGGAAUUCCUGGUGUAGCGGUGAAAUGCGCAGAUAUCAGGAGGAACACCAGCGGCGAAGGCGGCACUCUGGGCCGGUACUGACGCUGAGGAGCGAAAGCAUGGGGAGCAAACAGGAUUAGAUACCCUGGUAGUCCAUGCCGUAAACGUUGGGCACUAGGUAUGGGAUCAUAUCAACGGAUUCCGUGCCGUAGCUAACGCAUUAAGUGCCCCGCCUGGGGAGUACGG